UACGAAGGGUGCUAGCGUUGUUCGGAAUUACUGGGCGUAAAGCGUAGGUAGGCGGUUUUCCAAGUCAGGGGUGAAAUCCCGAGGCUCAACCUCGGAAUUGCCUUUGAAACUGGAAAGCUAGAGAAUGUUAGAGGCAAGUGGAAUUCCUAGUGUAGGAGUGAAAUCCGUAGAUAUUAGGAGGAACAUCAAUGGCGAAGGCAGCUUGCUGGGACAUUACUGACGCUGAGCUACAAAAGCGUGGGGAGCAAACAGG
rnacentral:rRNA from 1 species